UACGUAGGUGGCAAGCGUUGUCCGGAUUUACUGGGCGUAAAGAGCGCGCAGGCGGUCGUUCAAGUCGAGUGUGAAAGCCCCCGGCUCAACUGGGGAGGGUCAUUCGAUACUGAUCGACUCGAAGGCAGGAGAGGGUAGUGGAAUUCCCGGUGUAGUGGUGAAAUGCGUAGAUAUCGGGAGGAACACCAGUGGCGAAGGCGACUACCUGGCCUGUUUCUUGACGCUGAGGCGCGAAAGCUAGGGGAGCAAACGGG
rnacentral:rRNA from 1 species